AACCAGGCUCACACUUCUCCAGAGGAGCUGAAAAUAAACCGGUACAGCUUCAACGUUUUAAGGGAGCCUGGUCACUCAACUUAAACAGUGUUAACAGCAGAGUCCUGUUACCCUUUCCAGAAGUGCCACCCGGAUUCCCAAGCUGGCCUUGUCCCUGGGAGAUAUGUGCCUGGAGCUGCAGGGGCUACUGACUGGCAGGAGCCAACUUGGAAAUGGAGCUGAAAUGGAGGGGAGCCGAUCUAAGGUCUAGGUUGGUGACAGUGUUUGAACCCAUGGGUCCACUUGUGCCAGAAACUUCAUAAGUUCUGAGUUGUGUUUUCCAUCCCUUAUGAUUAAAAGAACCUAAUGACCUCCCUCCAACCAGUAUAAUCUAUACACUGCAGGUGAAUGCACUAAGCUAUCUCCCUACCAAUGUGUAAUGGGAAAAUUUG